rnacentral:rRNA from 1 species
AUUGAACGCUGGCGGCAUGCUUUACACAUGCAAGUCGAACGGUAACAGGGUGCCUGCACCGCUGACGAGUGGCGAACGGGUGAGUAAUGCGUCGGAACGUGCCGAGUAGUGGGGGAUAACGCAGCGAAAGUUGUGCUAAUACCGCAUACGUACUGAGGUAGAAAGUGGGGGACCUUCGGGCCUCACGCUAUUCGAGCGGCCGACGUCUGAUUAGCUAGUAGGUGAGGUAAAGGCUCACCUAGGCGACGAUCAGUAGCGGGUCUGAGAGGAUGAUCCGCCACACUGGGACUGAGACACGGCCCAGACUCCUACGGGAGGCAGCAGUGGGGAAUUUUGGACAAUGGGCGAAAGCCUGAUCCAGCCAUGCCGCGUGUCUGAAGAAGGCCUUCGGGUUGUAAAGGACUUUUGUCGGGGAGGAAAUCCCCAGCGUUAAUACCGCUGGGGGAUGACAGUACCUGAAGAAUAAGCACCGGCUAACUACGUGCCAGCCGCCGCGGUAAGAC